rnacentral:rRNA from 1 species
UACAGAGGUGGCAAGCGUUGUUCGGAAUUACUGGGCGUAAAGGGCGCGUAGGCGGCCCGUCAAGUCCCGUGUGAAAGCCCCCGGCUCAACCGGGGAACGGCGCGGGAAACUAGCAGGCUUGAGUUCGGGAGAGGGAAGCGGAAUUCCGGGUGUAGCGGUGAAAUGCGCAGAUAUCCGGAGGAACACCGGUGGCGAAGGCGGCCAUCUGGACGACAACUGACGCUGAGAUGCGAAAGCGUGGGGAGCAAACAGG